GACGAACGCUGGCGGCGUGCCUAAUACAUGCAAGUCGAACGCAGUGGGGACGGGUGAGUAACACGUGGGUAACCUCCCAUCAGAGGGGAUAACACUUGGAAACAGGUGCUAAACCGAUACUGAUGGAUGGACCCGCGGUGCAUUAGCUAGUUGGUGAGGUAACGGCUCACCAAGGCCAAGAUGCAUAGACGACCUUAGAGGGUGAUGGGCGCGCAUGGGACUGAGACCCGGCCCAGGAUCCGACGGGAGGCAGAAGGAGGGAAUCUUUGACAAUGGACGAAAGUCUGAACCAGCAACGCCGCGGGAGGGAAGAAGGUUUUCGGAUCGUAAAACUCUUUUGGUUGAGAAGCGGUAUUUAAACAGAAAGCCACGGCUAACUACGUGCCAGCAGCCGCGGUAAUAC
rnacentral:rRNA from 1 species